ensembl:lincRNA
CUUCAGGACGAUAAGACGAAAAGGUCAAAAGACUUCAAAGCGUUCCUCCUUAUAUUCCAUCCAUCCUCCCCUUCCUCCAUGCUGGCUGUUCAGGGGAAAUUUAUCUUUGGUUGUGGCUGCACCUGAUUGGCGGAGCCGUGUUGCAGUGACGUCAUGCCUGGGAGGUGCAGGGAGUGAGGGAAGGGGGGGAAGCCUUGAGAAGCUUCAAAACUUGCCUUUAUUCACGUAAGAACCGCAUUUGCUGCUCCGCUGAAGCCCUGCACCUGCGUUCAUUAUUAUGAGGCAUGUAAUGAACCUGAAAUUGAAUGAAGGUGCAUUUGUUUUGUUGUGAGAUAUCGAGGAUAGAGAGAGGGUGAAAAGAACAAACUUAUGCAAACUCACACUCACAACGCAUAUUUAUCCCAUUAUCUGCAAUCUCACUUCAUUGCUAAACCGAAUACCAAGGUGUAACUGACACUAAUCCUAUGUGUGCGUGCUUUUACUUGGCCCAGAGGUGCACGACGUCCUCUUCAGGACCAAAACUGUCACAAUAUCAAUAUACCACCAAUACAUCACUGAUAAAUCACCAAUCCUACCCCUAAAUUACAUAAGCUGUUCCUCCAGAGGUUUUCAAUCGACUCAGUAUCAAGAUGUGACGUGACAGUCGUGAUCUUAUUGAGAAACCAGAAAUUCCAGUAAUGAGGUUUGUUGUUGGCGGAAGUACAUUCCGAGCAGUCAGUUUCAGAUACUGGAGGCCGUCGCUGUACAGAGGCUGUUGGCCUCUCUUGGCAUCACGUAUGGCGAAUUUAUUGAGCAGCCCGAUUCCCUUGAUGUUUUUCACCUUGACAGUGGACACUGCAUCAGCUGCUGCUCAAGAUUCUGAAAUCCCAGACUGGGCAAAGGCUCUACUUGGUCUCUUGAGCGUGACCAUCUUGCUUGUGCUCCUACUUCUUGGUGUCUUUGUGGCUUUGUACUACAUGUUGAAGAAAAUGAAGAAGCAACAACUGCUGAGAUUGCCAUCAAAAUCCAGAGACGAACAGUCGAAUAAGCAGCCUCAGGGUGAUCACCAAGAAAGUGAUCUAUAUGCUGAUGUGACAGCAACUGGCUUGGAGAAUGAAGGGAAAAUGCAACUUCACAGCAAGGGUCUUCAGAGCAAUAAGCAGCCAGAAAAUGAUCCUCAAAACAAAGAUUCAUAUAUUUAUGUGGAUGAAUUUUCCAAUGGGAAUAAAGAGAAAAUUCAACUUCCGAAGCUAAAUGAGCCAAAAUCACCACCAAUCAGCAAAAGUCUUCAGAGAAAUACGCAGCCAGAAGACGUGUACGAAGUGCUGCCUGACGUCAAUAACUUGUACAACGAUGAAGAUGAACUCCACGCUCAGAACUGAAUAUUAUCAAAGUGACGAUGAAGUAUCUUGUGAAUCACCUGGAUGCUUCGAGAAGAGUUCUUCGCAUUUUUGAUCGAUAAUUACCUCCGCCACCGAAGUUGGACGGAGGUUAUGUUUUCACCCCUGUUAAUCUGUUUGUUCAUGAACAGGAUAUCACGUAAAGUUGUGGAUUUGAUUCCAUUUUGGUGAAGAUCCUGAUCUGGAAAACAGAAUUUUUAAAGUGAUUCUUCACCAUUAAGAAAAUAAUGCCUAAAACGAUAUAUAGCACGAUAUCUCAAAAAGUUAUGGGGCGGAUAUGGGACCAAACUUGGUGGACAGGUUGGGUGUGUGAUAAGGAAGGAUUGAUUCGAUUUUGUUUGAGGUCCGGAUGCGAAUCUGGCCAAUCCGUGGGAUACAAAACGUAAACUACUCAACCUGGCAGAGGUAUGCGCUCUACCGAAUGUCGUUCCAGUUCACAAUGAUACAUGAUGCGUCAAUUGUAGAGCCUCGAAUCGUCUUUUCACAAACUAGUUAAAUUGUUUUUGUCACUUCGUCUGUAAACCUGUAAUUCAAGCAAGGAGCGUUUCUGUAUGCUUGGGAUUAAGCAGAAUUUUUUGAAGAGUUUUCAAAUAAAAUGACUUUCAGAAAAAUGUGCCCCCCCCCCCC